UUUGAUGAGCAAUGAGAUACAAAAGCUGAGAAAAAGUGAGAGCAGGAAACAAGGGUCCAGGUGUGGAUGGCAAAGGAGAAAGCGGAGUUGCUCCCUGAGGUAGCGAAUGAAGGAGAAGCAAUGGGGGGAGGGGGUAGUUAACUGUGCGGAACAGCAGCAGUUAGGAGCUCCAGGGAGCGCUUCCCAACAGUUUGUCAUUCAAAUCAGGAAGAAGGAAGAACAGGAGCCGGCAGGCUAAAGUGAGGCAAGGAUGGGUCACAGGAAGACACACUGGGGGGAGCGGAGGAGAGGGACAGAGUGCAAGAAGGAAGAGGAGGCUUAAAUGAAGCAAUUAAACUCUCCCUAGCCCCUGUCUGCACCAUCAGAUAAGGACGUUUUCCAAGAGUUAUUUCAUGCAGCUAAGUUUCCUGAGAAUGAGUUUGACAGUUUUGCAUCACCUUUUAUGAUCUUCAUUGAAGACCCAAACUUUUAAUCACCAUGGAUUUUCUGGAUGUGUUGGGUACCUGUAAAGACUCUGGCUGACCUUGAGGAAGUUCGAGAAAGGUUCUUCCUCAAAGAUCCUUGAAGAGCAGCUCAUGUACAAAGCUUGAAGCAUGAUCAGAUCUGCCCAGGUUGGCAAGGCAAACCCAAGAUACUUUUCUGGAAUUAAAUGCUCAAGCAAUUAAGGACAUGUGGGUAUCUUCGGGUACUGUGAUUCUUAAUAGCUUAUCCCUCUGUUAAAAGAAAAAUGAUCAAAUAUGAAAUCCCUGGGCAUAAACAAAACAAAAGAAGAAAACAGAUGACUGCUGGCACUCAUUUUUUAUAGUAUUCUGA